rnacentral:misc_RNA from 1 species
GUAUUAUAUUAUAUCGAGUCGAAGCUCGAACGGUUCAUUCAUUGAAGAUGUACGCGUAUGUAUAAGAAAGCGAGAGCCGAGGUAUCUCAGCCCUCAUAGGGGUGCACAGAUAGGGGUAGAUGAAUGAAAGCGAAGAUAGGGGCGAGCACGAUGCCCCUCGCGGGACCAGCGUCAACCGUCGACCUUCUCGUAUUCAUUAAUGAUCCUUCCGCAGGUUCACCUACGGAAA